UAACCUGGGGAAACCCAGGCUAAUACCGCAUACGUCCUACGGGAGAAAGGGGGCUCCGGCUCCCGCUAUUGGAUGAGCCUAUGUCGGAUUAGCUAGUUGGUGAGGUAAAGGCUCACCAAGGCAACGAUCCGUAGCUGGUCUGAGAGGAUGAUCAGCCACAUCGGGACUGAGACACGGCCCGAACUCCUACGGGAGGCAGCAGUGGGGAAUAUUGGACAAUGGGCGCAAGCCUGAUCCAGCCAUGCCGCGUGUGUGAAGAAGGCCCUCGGGUUGUAAAGCACUUUCAGCGAGGAAGAACGCCUAGCGGUUAAUACCCGCUAGGAAAGACAUCACUCGCAGAAGAAGCACCGGCUAACUCCGUGCCAGCAGCCGCGGUAAUACGGAGGGUGCAAGCGUUAAUCGGAAUUACUGGGCGUAAAGCGCGCGUAGGUGGCUUGAUAAGCCGGUUGUGAAAGCCCCGGGCUCAACCUGGGAACGGCAUCCGGAACUGUCAAGCUAGAGUGCAGGAGAGGAAGGUAGAAUUCCCGGUGUAGCGGUGAAAUGCGUAGAGAUCGGGAGGAAU
rnacentral:rRNA from 2 species